rnacentral:piRNA from 1 species
UGAUCAGUUGUGGCUUUACAUAUUGGUCUC